UACGAAGGGGCUAGCGUUGCUCGGAAUCACUGGGCGUAAAGGGUGCGUAGGCGGGUCUUUAAGUCAGGGGUGAAAUCCUGGAGCUCAACUCCAGAACUGCCUUGAUACUGAAGAUCUUGAGUUCGGGAGAGGUGAGUGGAACUGCGAGUGUAGAGGUGAAAUUCGUAGAUAUUCGCAAGAACACCAGUGGCGAAGGCGGCUCACUGGCCCGAUACUGACGCUGAGGCACGAAAGCGUGGGGAGCAAACAGGG
rnacentral:rRNA from 1 species